UUUUUUUUAUAAACAGUCACUUUUUAAAAAGAUCAUGUCAAUGAUAAUUCAAUCAAAACAAAUGGAAGGCUUAAUCAAAUAAGAAGUUAAAGAACAUUUAAACCGACCAAUACGGCUAAGGUAAUACACCUUAUCGCUAUUUGUUCGCCAUUACUUGUGACCAAUACGGCUAAGGUAAUACACCUUAUCGCUAUUUGUUCGCCAUUACUUGUGACCAAUACGGCUAAGGUAAUACACCUUAUCGCUAUUUGUUCGCCAUUACUUGUGACCAAUACGGCUAAGGUAAUACACCUUAUCGCUAUUUGUUCGCCAUUACUUGUGACCAAUACGGCUAAGGUAAUACACCUUAUCGCUAUUUGUUCGCCAUUACUUGUGACCAAUACGGCUAAGGUAAUACACCUUAUCGCUAUUUGUUCGCCAUUACUUGUGACCAAUAUGUCUAAGGUAAUACACCUUAUCGCCAUUUGUUCGCCAUUACUUGUGACCAAUACGGCUAAGGUAAUACACCUUAUCGCUAUUUGUUCGCCAUUACUUGUGACCAAUACGGCUAAGGUAA